CUCUUUUUUUGUGUUAGACUAAGGGCGAAAGGAG
rnacentral:ncRNA from 1 species